UACGAAGGGUGCAAGCGUUGCUCGGAAUUAUUGGGCGUAAAGGGUAGGUAGGUGGUAAUAAAAGUCUGGGGUGAAAUCCCUGAGCUCAACUCAGGACGUGCCUUGGAAACUUUAUUACUAGAGUGCUGGAGAGGUCCGCAGAAUUCCCGGUGUAGCGGUGAAAUGCGUAGAGAUCGGGAGGAAUACCAGAGGCGAAGGCGGCGGACUGGACAGCACUGACACUGAGGCACGAAAGCGUGGGGAGCGAACAGG
rnacentral:rRNA from 1 species